rnacentral:lncRNA from 1 species
GGUCAGCAUGAUAAAACCACAGCAAAUCAACAGCAUAAAUUGAAAAAAAUGUACAUCACACGCUAAAAUGGGAACAGUAUUCUUCAUCUAGCUUCAGUAUAUUACUCAACAUUACUGCAGACCUAGUAAAGUACAGCUUCGAAAUUAUAUUUUUUAUCUAAUUAUAAUUUGUUGUUUACUUUUUAUGAGAGCUCUCAGGGGAACAAAACUGUGGUUUCAUUUAUUUUCAUUGGUACCAAUUUUCGCAGAUUGAGGAUAAUUUGCAUUUUUUGUGGAUAUUUGAUUUUGUGGCUUUACUAAUGUCUGCGUACAAGCUUAAGGUAAGACAAUAUUUGAAGUGCGUUGAACAUUUGAAUUUGUGGUUCAACUGUUCCAAAGAAACCCAGGAAAAUUAUUAUCUGACAAAUAAUAAUGAAUCCAUAGCAAUAGUAUAACAAAAAUAGAACUAUGCAGCUAUUUAUAAGUUCAAUAUUCUUAGGCGCUGU